GGAGUACACUCCCAACCCCUGUGAACAUACCAAUUGUUGCCUCGGCGGAUCAGCCCGCUCCCGGUAAAACGGGACGGCCCGCCAGAGGACCCCUAAACUCUGUUUCUAUAUGUAACUUCUGAGUAAAACCAUAAAUAAAUCAAAACUUUCAACAACGGAUCUCUUGGUUCUGGCAUCGAUGAAGAACGCAGCAAAAUGCGAUAAGUAAUGUGAAUUGCAGAAUUCAGUGAAUCAUCGAAUCUUUGAACGCACAUUGCGCCCGCCAGUAUUCUGGCGGGCAUGCCUGUUCGAGCGUCAUUUCAACCCUCAAGCCCUCGGGUUUGGUGUUGGGGAUCGGCGAGCCCUUGCGGCAAGCCGGCCCCGAAAUCUAGUGGCGGUCUCGCUGCAGCUUCCAUUGCGUAGUAGUAAAACCCUCGCAACUGGUACGCGGCGCGGCCAAGCCGUUAAACCCCCAACUUCUGAAUGUUGACCUCGGAUCAGGUAGGAAUACCCGCUGAACUUAAGCAUAUCAAUAGGCCGGAGGAA
rnacentral:rRNA from 1 species